rnacentral:lncRNA from 1 species
GGGGUUCGUAUAGGCAGGGAGCACAGGCGUAAGGCUGAGAUCGGCUUCCCUAGAGCCUUUCAAACUGGAUGGACCUGCACUUGUUGCUUAAAUGUCUUGAGGCCUGUGUUUCCACAUCUGGGAAAUGGGGAAAUUGUGGUGUUUGCUGUGAAGCUUCCUCAUUGGCUGAUGAACUCAUCUGGUGUUCCUAAGACCAACACCUUCAGUCCCAUUUCACAAAGUCCAAAUCACAAAGGAGGAAACUAUUUAUUUGAUGAAUGCUGUAUUGAAGACAUGUUCUCUGUUGCCUUGCAGGAUAAGCCCGUAAUCAAAUGCUCCAUACCAUCUGUUUGAGAGUUUUUUGAGACUGGGAUCACUGUCUGGAACCACAGGCCGCCCUCUGAAGGCUGGAGAGGUGGUGACAGCUGAACAAAUGAUGGCGCUACGAGUCCAUGGGUUAGGUUACCUGGGCAUGGGAAUCCCCAUAUAGCCAAUGCCUUCUCGGGUAUUAAGUGUCAGAUAAACACAGCUCCUCAACUGCUA